GUCCACGCCGUAAACGAUGAUAACUAGCUGUCCGGGCACUUGGUGCUUGGGUGGCGCAGCUAACGCAUUAAGUUAUCCGCCUGGGGGAGUACGGUCGCAAGAUUAAAAACUCAAAGGAAUUGACGGGGGCCUGCACAAGCGGUGGAGCAUGUGGUUUAAUUCGAAGCAACGCGCAGAACCUUACCAGCGUUUGACAUCCCGCGCUAUCACAAGAGAUUGUGAGUUCCCUUCGGGGACGCGGUGACAGGUGCUGCAUGGCUGUCGU
rnacentral:rRNA from 1 species